rnacentral:rRNA from 1 species
CCUACGGGUGGCAGCAGUGAGGAAUAUUGGUCAAUGGCCGGAAGGCUGAACCAGCCAAGCCGCGUGAAGGACGAAGGUGCCAAGCAUUGUAAACUUCUUUUGUCAAGGGACAAAAUCAGGCUCGAGAGCCUGACCGAAGGUACUUUAAGAAAAAGCAUCGGCUAACUCCGUGCCAGCAGCCGCGGUAAUACGGAGGUUGCGAGCGUUAUCCGGAUUUAUGGGGUUUAAAGGGUGCGUAGGCGGCCCGUUAAUUGAGCGGUAAAAGCCCGGGGCUCAACCCCGGCGAGCCGUUGAAACUGGCUGUCUUGAGAUGUCCAGAGGUAUGCGGAAUGCGCAGUGUAGCGGUGAAAUGCUUAGAUAUCGCGCAGAACUCCGAUUGCGAAGGCAGCAUACCGGCGGCGAUCUGACGCUGAGGCACGAAAGCGUGGGUAUCGAACAGGAUUAGAUACCCGGGUAGUC